UAGGGAAUCUUCGGCAAUGGACGAAAGUCUGACCGAGCAACGCCGCGUGAGUGAAGAAGGUUUUCGGAUCGUAAAACUCUGUUGUUAGAGAAGAACAAGGACGUUAGUAACUGAACGUCCCCUGACGGUAUCUAACCAGAAAGCCACGGCUAACUACGUGCCAGCAGCCGCGGUAAUACGUAGGUGGCAAGCGUUGUCCGGAUUUAUUGGGCGUAAAGCGAGCGCAGGCGGUUUCUUAAGUCUGAUGUGAAAGCCCCCGGCUCAACCGGGGAGGGUCAUUGGAAACUGGGAGACUUGAGUGCAGAAGAGGAGAGUGGAAUUCCCUGUGUAGCGGUGAAAUGCGUAGAUAUAUGGAGGAACACCAGUGGCGAAGGAGGCUCUGUGGUCUGUAACGGACGAGGAGGAUCGAAAGCGAGGGGAGCAAACAGG
rnacentral:rRNA from 1 species